rnacentral:lncRNA from 1 species
CAUGGCAUUCUUUAUUCCUAUUUAUCCUCAUAUAAAGAGUGGAUUCCUGUAACGGGAGAUAAAUAAGAAAAGCUAGUCAUGCCUUUCUUUAUUCUUAUUUAUCCUUUUAUAUAGAGAGUUAAUUCCUAUAAUGAGAGAGACAAGGGAAAGCGAGUCAUGGAUAAGGCAUAACAUUCACACAUUCACCAUUGGUACAUGCAUUUCCAUAUCCCUAUAUAUACAUGAUAUUAUGAUAAAGAGGGAUUCAUAGAGUGAAAGAAUUAAGGGAGAAGCAAAGGCGUUGAUACAAUGCACAAUGGUAUGUAUUAUAUAUUCAUUCUUUUAUUGAACUUUGAACUCAGUUACUUGUACAUUUUUUUGACAGCAUCUUUGACAAAUUCUGAAGUGGCAUGCAUCUUAGCGCCUGGUUUGAAUUUCAUAAAUUCAACAAUUAUACUACAUGUAUAUCUUUUUUCACAUUAUUUUUGACAUUAUGCCAUGUGGCGACGCGUGGUUGGACAGUUUAAAAACACAGUUUGUUGCCCAACACUUUUUGAAUUCCAACAGAGCGUACACAAAGAUCUAAACCAAAGAAUAUGCACUUAACAUUAAUUUAAAUUCAAAAUAAAGGGCUAGGGUGCAUGCCAUCACAUCAUCCAUCGAACUUUCUAUUAAUACAUUUCUGCACAAGUAACUUAAUUCUUGAACUUUUAACCUUGUAUCUAAUUCAUGUAGGUUAUAUUUAAAACUAAAAACACUAUUUCUAUAAAUAUAUAUAUAGACAUUUGUUCAUACGACUAACUGGUGCUGGCCCUGAC